GCCUAGAUAGCUCAGUUGGAGAGCGUUAGACUGAAGAUCUAAAGGUCCCCGGUUCGAUCCCGGGUCUGGACA
rnacentral:tRNA from 1 species